GAUUGACACAAAUCCAAAACUGGAGGAACAUUGUUGAUGAGCAAAUGGGGAAAUAGACACUCUCAUACAUUCUUGGUGGGAGCAGAACCUACAAGCAGCAAUUGGCGCCUAUUACGACUUUGAGAGCCCAAACAUCAGUGUACCCUCUAUGUCGUUUGUUGAAGAUGUCACCAUAGGAGAAGGGGAGUCGAUACCUCCUGAUACUCAGUUUAUAAAGACAUGGCGGAUCCAGAAUUCUGGGGCAGAGGCCUGGCCUCCAGGGGUUUGUCUUAAAUAUGUCGGGGGAGACCAGUUUGGACAUGUGAACAUGGUGAUGGUGAGAUCGCUAGAGCCCCAAGAGAUUGCAGAUGUCAGCGUCCAGAUGUGCAGCCCCAGCAGAGCAGGAAUGUAUCAGGGACAGUGGCGGAUGUGCACUGCUACAGGACUCUACUAUGGAG